AGAGUUUGAUCAUGGCUCAGAUUGAGCGCUGGCGGCAGGCCUAACACAUGCAAGUCGAACGGUAACAGGAAGCAGCUUGCUGCUUCGCUGACGAGUGGCGGACGGGUGAGUAAUGUCUGGGAAGCUGCCUGAUGGAGGGGGAUAACUACUGGAAACGGUAGCUAAUACCGCAUAAUGUCGCAAGACCAAAGAGGGGGACCUUCGGGCCUCUUGCCAUCGGAUGUGCCCAGAUGGGAUUAGCUUGUUGGUGGGGUAACGGCUCACCAAGGCGACGAUCCCUAGCUGGUCUGAGAGGAUGACCAGCCACACUGGAACUGAGACACGGUCCAGACUCCUACGGGAGGCAGCAGUGGGGAAUAUUGCACAAUGGGCGCAAGCCUGAUGCAGCCAUGCCGCGUGUAUGAAGAAGGCCUUCGGGUUGUAAAGUACUUUCAGCGGGGAGGAAGGGAGUAAAGUUAAUACCUUUGCUCAUUGACGUUACCCGCAGAAGAAGCACCGGCUAACUCCGUGCCAGCAGCCGCGGUAAUACGGAGGGUGCAAGCGUUAAUCGGAAUUACUGGGCGUAAAGCGCACGCAGGCGGUUUGUUAAGUCAGAUGUGAAAUCCCCGGGCUCAACCUGGGAACUGCAUCUGAUACUGGCAAGCUUGAGUCUCGUAGAGGGGGGUAGAAUUCCAGGUGUAGCGGUGAAAUGCGUAGAGAUCUGGAGGAAUACCGGUGGCGAAGGCGGCCCCCUGGACGAAGACUGACGCUCAGGUGCGAAAGCGUGGGGAGCAAACAGGAUUAGAUACCCUGGUAGUCCACGCCGUAAACGAUGUCGACUUGGAGGUUGUGCCCUUGAGGCGUGGCUUCCGGAGCUAACGCGUUAAGUCGACCGCCUGGGGAGUACGGCCGCAAGGUUAAAACUCAAAUGAAUUGACGGGGGCCCGCACAAGCGGUGGAGCAUGUGGUUUAAUUCGAUGCAACGCGAAGAACCUUACCUGGUCUUGACAUCCACGGAAGUUUUCAGAGAUGAGAAUGUGCCUUCGGGAACCGUGAGACAGGUGCUGCAUGGCUGUCGUCAGCUCGUGUUGUGAAAUGUUGGGUUAAGUCCCGCAACGAGCGCAACCCUUAUCCUUUGUUGCCAGCGGUCCGGCCGGGAACUCAAAGGAGACUGCCAGUGAUAAACUGGAGGAAGGUGGGGAUGACGUCAAGUCAUCAUGGCCCUUACGACCAGGGCUACACACGUGCUACAAUGGCGCAUACAAAGAGAAGCGACCUCGCGAGAGCAAGCGGACCUCAUAAAGUGCGUCGUAGUCCGGAUUGGAGUCUGCAACUCGACUCCAUGAAGUCGGAAUCGCUAGUAAUCGUGGAUCAGAAUGCCACGGUGAAUACGUUCCCGGGCCUUGUACACACCGCCCGUCACACCAUGGGAGUGGGUUGCAAAAGAAGUAGGUAGCUUAACCUUCGGGAGGGCGCUUACCACUUUGUGAUUCAUGACUGGGGUGAAGUCGUAACAAGGUA
rnacentral:rRNA from 1 species